AGAGUUUGAUCCUGGCUCAAAACGAACGCUGGCGGCAGGCCUAACACAUGCAAGUCGAGCGAGACCUUCGGGUCUAGCGGCGGACGGGUUAGUAACGCGUGGGAACGUGCCCUUUACUACGGAAUAGUCCCGGGAAACUGGGUUUAAUACCGUAUACGCCCUUCGGGGGAAAGAUUUAUCGGUAAAGGAUCGGCCCGCGUUAGAUUAGAUAGUUGGUGGGGUAAUGGCCUACCAAGUCUACGAUCUAUAGCUGGUUUGAGAGGAUGAUCAGCAACACUGGGACUGAGACACGGCCCAAACUCCUACGGGAGGCAGCAGUGGGGAAUCUUAGACAAUGGGCGCAAGCCUGAUCUAGCCAUGCCGCGUGAGUGACGAAGGCCUUAGGGUCGUAAAGCUCUUUCGCCAGGGAGGAUAAUGACAGUACCUGGUAAAGAAACCCCGGCUAACUCCGUGCCAGCAGCCGCGGUAAUACGGAGGGGGUUAGCGUUGUUCGGAAUUACUGGGCGUAAAGCGCACGUAGGCGGACUGGAAAGUUGGGGGUGAAAUCCCGGGGCUCAACCUCGGAACUGCCUCCAAAACUACUAGUCUAGAGUUCGAGAGAGGUGAGUGGAAUUCCGAGUGUAGAGGUGA
rnacentral:rRNA from 1 species